CACAAAAUUACCAGGUAGUGUAGUACUGAGUCAAGUACCAGGUAGUGUAGUAAUGAGCCUCUGAUGUUUACAGACAGACUUGUACUCUACUUCCCUGCCAGACACAGUCAGUCCACUGGAACAGUUACAGGCACACUUAACUGCAGAAAUCUCCUCCAUCUGUUCAGUGUUUUAGUUGAGACCUGAUGGAGAACAUUGGAGAUGCUCUUUGAUCAUUACAUUAGAAGAUGCCUUACUACUCUUUGAUAAUUCUGGAAUAUAGCUUUGAGACCUUAAAAUGUCAAAUUGCAAUUUAACCAUACCUCACCAAUGUGAUCUCACCCAAAUAUAUCCUACUGCUGUGUUUCUAUGGUGUUUGUUACUUAGGCAACCCGUAAUGACCAGGGAGGAGCUCUAUGGUGAUCUGCAGAACCUGUUGGAAUCAGUCUGUGACCUGACAGAGAUGGAGCCAACCACCUCAUUGUGCUCAACAAUGACAGCCAUGAGAACCUGAGUGCCUUCCUGGGGCCUGCUCUACACCGAGCGACGACAGUGGCAACAAGCCAUGUCUGACUUUGAAGCGGGAUCAAACUCGACAGGUCUGUAGCACUGGCCCAUGUGAACCUGGUUUUGAUGUACAGUUUAUGCUGAAGAUCAGGGUGGGAAAUUAACCAUAGUGGUUGGUGGAUACCCACA